rnacentral:rRNA from 1 species
UACGUAGGGGGCAAGCGUUGUCCGGAAUUAUUGGGCGUAAAGAGCGCGUAGGCGGUCCGGUAAGUCGGCUGUGAAAGUCAAGGGCUCAACCCUUGAAAGCCGGCCGAUACUGUCGGACUAGAGUCCGGAAGAGGCGAGUGGAAUUCCCGGUGUAGCGGUGAAAUGCGCAGAUAUCGGGAGGAACACCAAUAGCGAAGGCAGCUCGCUGGGACGGUACUGACGCUAAGGCGCGAAAGCGUGGGGAGCGAACAGG